CCCAGAUUACUAUGCACUUCGAUUAACUUUCAGUGACCGUGUCUAUAGGCUGCCUGGUUAAUGGUUUUCUGUCAAUACUGUAAAAAUGCUAACCUGUCUUUACAUCUAAUCAAUGUUGAAAUGGCUCUUCACAUAAACAGUCUAUUCCUUUUCUUCAUUAAAAAAAAGCAAUCAAAUGGGAUUGAACUGAACAAGUAGUUGUAAAGAAAAAAACAAAAAAAAACAAUAAUUAAUUUUGAGUGUGUAUUUUGAAGUAGUUGUCCUUGAGUAUUUUCUUCAUCACCAUUUUUUAAAGGGCAUUGAAAAUCAAUGUUUCGCUUUACUAUCAUCCAUCUUUAUAAAGUAAUAAAUUAAGUGGAAAGUAUCGAUAUUUUUGACUUGGUUUUUGAAAUUUACAUACUAAUGACAAUUGCACCCUCGUGACUUUUGAUUUCUGUUGCUGUUUACUGACACCAACUAGAGGAAAAUUUCAUCAUCUGGGGACCAUACUUCCUCUGAAGGAAUAAGGCAGUGUCAUAUCUCAGGUAAUAAUAUGCUCAAGAUCUUAGUCACUUCUUUUCAAAAUGCGACUUGCCAAGUGCAAACAACAGCAAGGAAAAUGCUGCUGACACACACCCAGCCCUCAUGGCCCUUGGUGGCAGCCAGCCCUGGGGACAGGACAGCACUUGGGGGGUGGCUGUGCAGCACUAUCAGUCCCACCUCAUCCGAUGUCUGGGUGGUGGUAUGAGAGCUACAAUCAACCUAAAUCCAGUGCACAAAGCAAGGAGCUUUCAUGCUUUCCAUGAUCCUUUUAAAUAUAUUAUUUAGAAUACAGCCCACUGUUAGAGAAGAAAGUUAAGAUGGGUUAUUUUUAGCAGCGUGUGAAUACUUGAAAAAAUUAUUUGCAAGUGUUACUGUAAGCAGAAGAUGCAAGUUGAUUGGACAGUAUUUGCUGUAUCUUUGUUUGCUUUCUGGGAACAUUCUGAGCUCUUCUCUUUGCACAAAAACAUUUCUCUGCGGAAAGAACUCAUGACUGUGAUUUGUUGGUGCCAGAAGUGGAUGGUCAUCCUGUGUGUGCUGUGCCAGCGUGGGGAUCAGAUGGGAGAGAGGGAAAUAGUGUGUGGCUUAGGUCAGGUGGCUGCCCAGUAGGAAUGCUGAUUUUUUGCUGUGCAUGAGGAGCAUAGACUCAAAGUAAUGGUGGUGGGAAAGCAAACAAACAAACAAACAACAAAAAACACCCUACCAGUAAAGCACUGGCAGCAGCUUGAUGACAUGACUCAUUUGCUGAGUAAUUCUAAAUAGCAAAUAAGUACACAAGCUCACUGUCUGUUUGCAGAUAAUUUACAAACAAGAGAAAGGAGUUACAAGUGUUGAAUAACUUGUUCAGUGCAAGUAUCUCAGUUCUGGUUAUUUUCUACUGUUCAUUCACUACCAAAUAAAUUCUUAGAACAUGUCUUCCUCCUACAUCUUGAUUUGCUUAGGCAGGCAAUUCUGUUUGUUUUCACUUUUGGACACCUUCCUGUUAAGAGUAUGACUUAGUUUAUUGUCUACUGAUGUCCAUUACUGUAUUAGCCCUUCCGUUUAAUAAUGCACAGGUGGAAGGCAAACUACUUUGAGCUGAACAAUAAGACCAAAUGUUGACAGGGCAGCCUUGCUGGAUUUCCUGCAUGCAGCAGUAUGUAUUAGGGGUGUUCAUGGGAGAUGGUGUAAAUGCUGUACUGGAAAUACAGUGAAACAUGGAAUGGCUUAGGUUGGAAGGGACCUCAAAGAUCACCUAGUUCCAAGCCCUUUGCUGUGAGCAGGGUUGCCCACCACUAGAUCAAGCAUCAGAUCAGGCUGCCCAGGACCCCAUCCAGCCCGGCCUUAACACCAUCAGGGAUGGGGUAAAAGUUAAUGAAAAGUAGCACUCCAAAGACCAGAUUCUGAAACAUUUUACUGAGCAUCUUACUGAAGGUCUUACUGAAGCAAUUUGGCAAGUGUUCAUAGUUUGGCUUUAAAGAGAGAUUUGUGGCAUAGCUUAGGUUGGAAGGAGCCACUGAAGGUCUCUAGUCCUGCUCAAAGCAGGUUACUGUGGGCUCUAAAGAGGUUGUUGAGGGAUUUUUCUCCUUAGAUCUUGAAAAUGUUCAAGGAUGAUGAGUGCACAUCCUCGCUAGACACUUCAUGCCUGGCUGGCCUUGGGGCCCUGGGGGGAGGUUUCUUCUCAACUCCCAUCCAAAGCCCUCACUUCACCUCCUGCUCGUCUGUUGCUAGAGAGGAAGGGAGCAGGCUUGGUGCAACAAGCUCAGAAGUGUGUCCUUCCCAGCCCUGAGCAGCUCUGUGGGACUCCUGCGAGCAGAGCCCCAGACUGCCCAAGCAGCACUACACUCUGGGCACGGCUCGUCGGGAGCACUGUACUCACAGCAGUGAUUUUUUCUUCUUCCUCUGAGCAAACAGUGGUUCAGUCAUAAAGGCUAAUUUGCACAGCAGUAUUGAUUGCCUGCAACGUGCUCAAUUCUAGUUUAGAUUCCCCAGGAUAAAGACACAGCAGCCUGAUGUGUUUUUUCCCUCUGGAACUUGAAGGGUGCUGGAAAAGACAAACACAAAAGAAAUCGUGCACCAAGGUACCAACAAACCAUAUGUUAGCUGCAGCUCUCCCCAGGGCAAGGUGCUAAGUUUUGUUUGCAUUUUGCCAAGACAGCAAUAAAUUGCUUGUUUACAGAUGACAGGAAGAAAUGGGAUGUCUUUAAAGCAAGCUAUGCACGCAGAUGCAAACAACGCACGGACAGAUGCACAUAUUUGAGCAAAGUAAAGUUAAUGCCCCUUCCUGGACCCCCCCCUUCUUAGGGAGGAGGGUCAGCCAAUCCUGGGGAUCAUUAUGCAGGAUUAUAAAAAUAUUAAGGCUGAUGAAAGUUGGCCUUCUCCAGUUUCAGGCUGAAUGGUGCGUUGCGCCAUUAGAUCAAACUGACCAGGAUGUGCCUCGCAGCCCUGUCUAUGUGCAAAGGACAGAAAAUAUGAGAGGUGUGGAGAAGGACUCACUUUCAUCAAAGUAUCAGUUUCCAGGAUAGUUUGGAAGCCCACAGCAUUAUUGUAUUACACAUUGCACAGAAGCGUGCCUUGUUCGGGUUUUUUUAGUGUUUUAGAAAUAAAAGACUUUUCUUCCAAAUUGCGCUGGGAGGCAAAUUCUUCAACAGUGUAAUAGAAAAUGUUAGACAAUAUUCCUUACUGGAGCUAUUGACAUUUUUGGUAGUCGUGACACUUUGAUUUUUCUCAAAACAUAUGGAUCAAGCCUGAGUGUGUUAUUGGACAGGAAGACCUGAUGAAAGGCCUUCCUUUAUCUUUCUUUGUAUUUUUUUCCCCUCUGUUUGUUCAUGGCUUUCUCUCUGAAUAUAAUCGUGGUUUUCUUAUGCUGCCCAGGGAGUCGUUAUUGCCUUACUAAAUAUUUUAUAGUGCACAGUGCACCAUACCUGCCAACCGGUUAUUAUUUGUU
ensembl:lncRNA